UUUACCCUACGGGGGGCAGCAGUCGGGAAUAUUGCGCAAUGGAGGAAACUCUGACGCAGUGACGCCGCGUGCAGGAAGAAGGUUUUCGGAUUGUAAACUGCUUUAGACAGGGAAGAUAAUGACAGUACCUGUAGAAUAAGCUCCGGCUAACUACGUGCCAGCAGCCGCGGUAAUACGUAGGGAGCAAGCGUUAUCCGGAUUUACUGGGUGUAAAGGGAGCGUAGACGGCUGUGCAAGUCUGAAGUGAAAGCCCGUGGCUCAACCGCGGAACUGCUUUGGAAACUGUAUAGCUUGAGUACUGGAGG
rnacentral:rRNA from 1 species